rnacentral:rRNA from 1 species
UACAGAGGGUGCAAGCGUUGCUCGGAAUUACUGGGCGUAAAGCGCACGUAGGCGGCUUUCUAAGUCGGGGGUGAAAUCCUGGAGCUCAACUCCAGAACUGCCUUCGAUACUGGAAAGCUCGAGUCCGGGAGAGGUGAGUGGAACUGCGAGUGUAGAGGUGAAAUUCGUAGAUAUUCGCAAGAACACCAGUGGCGAAGGCGGCUCACUGGCCCGGUACUGACGCUGAGGUGCGAAAGCGUGGGGAGCAAACAGG